rnacentral:rRNA from 1 species
UAACACGGAGGGUGCUAGCGUUAUCCGGAAUUACUGGGCGUAAAGCGCACGUAGGUGGGAAGGUAAAUUAAGCGUGAAAGUCUAGGGCUUAACUCUAGAAGUGCGCUUAAAAUUGUCUUUCUUGAGUCCUGGAGAGGGAGGUAGAACUCCCGGUGUAGGGGUGAAAUCCGUAGAUAUCGGGAGGAACACCGGUGGCGAAGGCGGCCUCCUGGACAGGUACUGACACUGAGGUGCGAAAGCGUGGGUAGCAAACAGGAUUAGAUACCCUGGUAGUCCAUGCCGUAAACGAUGGGCACUAGGUGUAGAGGUGUAUUCCUCUGUGCCGUAGCUAACGCGUUAAGUGCCCCGCCUGGGGAGUACGGUCGCAAGGCUG